ACCCGUGUGUUUAUAAGUUAGUCACCGGCCAAAUCACAGCAAACACAAUGACUGAAGCUGAAGUGAACCCGAAAGCCUAUCCUCUGGCAGACGCCACGCUCUCCAAAACCAUCCUGGACCUGGUGCAGCAGGCGUCGAAC